GCUAGGCAUGGUGGCGCAUGCCUGUAAUCCCAGCUACUUGGGAGGCUGAGGCAGGAGAAUUGCUUGAACCUGGGAGGUGGAGGUUGCAGUGAGCUGAGAUUGCACCACUGCACUCUAGCCUGGGCAAGAGAGCAAGACUCUGUUUCAA
ensembl:misc_RNA Metazoa_SRP Metazoan signal recognition particle RNA